rnacentral:misc_RNA from 1 species
AAAUGCGAUAAUUAAUGUGAAUUGCAGAAUUCAGUGAAUCAUCGAGUCUUUGAACGCACAUUGCGCCCCCUGGUAUUCCGGGGGGCAUGCCUGUCCGAGCGUCAUUGCUGCCCUCAAGCACGGCUUGUGUGUUGGGCUUCCGUCCCUGGCAACGGGGACGGGCCCAAAAGGCAGUGGCGGCACCAUGUCUGGUCCUCGAGCGUAUGGGGCUUUGUCACCCGCUCCCGUAGGUCCAGCUGGCAGCUAGCCUCGCAACCAAUCUUUUUAACCAGGUUGACCUCGGAUCAGGUAGAGAUACCCGCUGAACUUAAGC